GAUGAACGCUAGCGGGAGGCCUAACACAUGCAAGCCGAGCGGUAGAGUCUCUUCGGAGACUUGAGAGCGGCGCACGGGUGCGGAACACGUGUGCAACCUGCCUUUAUCUGGGGGAUAGCCUUUCGAAAGGAAGAUUAAUACCCCAUAAUAUACUGGAUGGCAUCAUCUGGUAUUGAAAACUCCGGUGGAUAGAGAUGGGCACGCGCAAGAUUAGAUAGUUGGUGAGGUAACGGCUCACCAAGUCAGCGAUCUUUAGGGGGCCUGAGAGGGUGAUCCCCCACACUGGUACUGAGACACGGACCAGACUCCUACGGGAGGCAGCAGUGAGGAAUAUUGGACAAUGGGUGAGAGCCUGAUCCAGCCAUCCCGCGUGAAGGACGACGGCCCUAGGGGUUGUAAACUUCUUUUGUAUAGGGAUAAACCUAGAUACGUGUAUCUAGCUGAAGGUACUAUACGAAUAAGCACCGGCUAACUCCGUG
rnacentral:rRNA from 1 species